UGUCCAAUGAACUUUAUCAAAGAAUUAGAAUUAGAAUUAAAAAAAGUUUUUGUUUAGUCUAUCUAUUGAUGGAAUAAGUGAUGAUCCAACGGUUCUUACUCAGAUAAUCCUUGGCUUAGCUUAGUUGAAUCAUCGUGGUUAAGAGAAUGAAGUUUUCAUUUUGUACAUGCCAGAUCAUGAAUUAGUAACUGCAUCCAAUUUCCAAAAAAAAUCCCAAUUGUGUCGAACUUUCCAUUUUUGGAAUGGAAUAGGAUCAAGAUCAAACCUUAUUCCAUGGUAUUUACAUGAGGUUCCUCUUUAAGAAAGUCCCUGAGAGGGCUUAGUUGAUGUUCGAUUCUAUCUGA
rnacentral:lncRNA from 1 species